GUCUUUAGUUGCCAUCAUUAAGUUGGCACUCUAAGAGACUGCCGGUGUCAAACCGGAGGAAGUGGGAUGACGUCAAGUCCUCAUGGCCUUUAUGACCAGGGCUACACACGUACUACAAUGGCAGGUACAAAGGGCAGCCACUUAGCGAUAAGGAGCGAAUCCCGUAAAACCUGUCUCAGUCCGGAUUGGAGUCUGCAACUCGACUCCAUGAAGUUGGAAUCGCUAGUAAUCGCAGAUCAGCACGCUGCGGUGAAUACGUUCCCGGGCCUU
rnacentral:rRNA from 1 species